rnacentral:rRNA from 1 species
UACGGAGGGUGCGAGCGUUGUCCGGAAUCACUGGGCGUAAAGCGCACGUAGGCGGACUCGUAGGUCAAUUGUGAAAUACCUGGGCUCAACCCAGGAACUGCAGUUGAAACCGCUUGUCUUGAAUACCUGAGAGGGUGGGGGAAUACCUGGUGGAGAAGUGAAAUUCGUAGAGAUCAGGUGGAACACCGGAGGCGAAGGCGCCUGCCUGGCAGUGUAUUGACGCUGAGGUGCGAAAGUGCGGGGAGCAAACAGG